rnacentral:tRNA from 1 species
GGAGAGGUACCGAAGCGGUCAUAACGGCGCCGUCUCGAAAGCGGAUGGGCGUAAGCCACGUGGGUUCGAAUCCCACCCUCUCCGCCA